CCUGCCUUAGCUCAGUUGGAAGAGCGCGAGACUGUAACUGGGUAAAUUCAUCUUGAGGUCGCCUGUUCGAACCAGGCAGGCAGGA